rnacentral:rRNA from 1 species
UCUGGGACAAGCCUUGGAAACGAGGUCUAAUACCGGAUAUUACCUGUCCUCGCAUGGGGAUGGGUGGAAAGCUCAGGCGGUGCAGGAUGAUCCCGCGGCCUAUCAGCUUGUUGGUGGGGUAAUGGCCUACCAAGGCGACGACGGGUAGCCGGCCUGAGAGGGCGACCGGCCACACUGGGACUGAGACACGGCCCAGACUCCUACGGGAGGCAGCAGUGGGGAAUAUUGCACAAUGGGCGAAAGCCUGAUGCAGCGACGCCGCGUGAGGGAUGAAGGCCUUCGGGUCGUAAACCUCUUUCAGCAGGGAAGAAGCGCAAGUGACGGUACCUGCAGAAGAAGCACCGGCUAACUACGUGCCAGCAGCCGCGGUAAUACGUAGGGUGCGAGCGUUGUCCGGAAUUAUUGGGCGUAAAGAGCUCGUAGGCGGCUUGUCGCGUCGGAUGUGAAAGCCCGGGGCUUAACCCCGGGUCUGCAUACGAUACGGGCAGGCUAGAGUGUGGUAGGGGAGAUCGGAAUUCCUGGUGUAGCGGUGAAAUGCGCAGAUAUCACGAGGAACACCGGUGGCGAAGGCGGAUCUCUGGGCCAUUACUGACGCUGAGGAGCGAAAGCGUGGGGAGCGAACAGGAUUAGAUACCCUGGUAGUCCACGCCGUAAACGGUGGGAACUAGGUGUUGGCGACAUUCCACGUCGUCGUGCCGCAGCUAACGCAUUAAGUUCCCCGCCUGG